ACGGCCGCGGUAUCCUAACCGUGCGAAGGUAGCGUAAUCACUUGUUCUUUAAAUAAGGACUAGUAUGAAUGGCAUCACGAGGGCUAUACUGUCUCCUUUUUCUAAUCAGUGAAACUAAUCUUCCCGUGAAGAAGCGGGAAUUAAUUUAUAAGACGAGAAGACCCUAUGGAGCUUUAAACAAAUAACACCUGCUAAUCCUUUUAAAAUAUUCAGAUACUUAAUUUUUAUCUUAGCACUAUGAUUACAAGUUUUUGGUUGGGGUGACCGCGGAGUAAAAAUUAACCUCCACAUUGAAAAAAAUUUUUUUAAGCAAAAAGCUACAACUUUAAGCAUCAAUAAAUUGACACUUAUUGACCCAAUAUUUUGAUCAACGAACCAAGUUACCCUAGGGAUAACAGCGCAAUCCACUUUGAGAGCUCUUAUCGACAAGUGGGCUUACGACCUCGAUGUUGGAUCAGGGUAUCCCAGUGGUGUAGCCGCUACUAAAGGUUCGUUUGUUCAACGAUUAAAACCCU
rnacentral:rRNA from 1 species